rnacentral:rRNA from 1 species
UACGAAGGGGGCUAGCGUUGCUCGGAAUUACUGGGCGUAAAGGGCGCGUAGGCGGCAUGACAAGUCACUUGUGAAAUCUCCGGGCUUAACUCGGAACGGUCAAGUGAUACUGUCGCGCUAGAGUGCGGAAGGGGCAAUCAGAAUUCUUGGUGUAGCGGUGAAAUGCGUAGAUAUCAAGAGGAAUACCUGAGGUGAAGACGGGUUGCUAGGCCGACACUGACGCUGAAGCGCGAAAGCCAGGGGAGCAAACGGG